GCUCAUCAAGACCAUGGAAACUGCAGCUCUAGCUACUAAGCCCAGGGUGGCCACGGAGCUGCUUGGCUACACAUCUCCUCUUGGUUUGGCCCUCCUUCUAAUCCCCGUGUUGCCUGAUGCCAAUACCUCACUUUGAGCUCAAGCAUUCUUUUACUGGGCUCGAUCCAGGCAUCGUUUGGAGUUGUGGAGCAAAUAAGAUCCCCAUUUUAACCUUCUAUCUCACCAAAUAUCCUGGAUCUUUGGGAACAUAUCAAAAACAUCACACUGGAAUUCAGCAUCCUGACUGCAGAUUUUACAACUCACGCGAGAGGCCCCAAGGAUGGACAUUCAACCGCCUUGGGGGACGGAGGCAAUUGCACCUUAAACAUCUGCGUUCUCCAGAAGAGUCACGCUUGCCUGGCUUCUGUAACAUGCCAGAUGCUGAACUCAUGAUUUAGAUGUGAUGACUCGUCCGCACCGUAUUGACUGACAGCGGGUGGCCUUUUCAUAAAGAGACAUCUAACAGUGUAAUUGCCUCCUCGGUCCUUGAGACUAGGAGGACGCAUGCGCUCGGGAGGACGCAUGCGCUCGGGAGGAGCGAGGAUUACAGCAUGUUGGUUUAAGCUUUGCAUGGUGGUGGGAUGUCACCCUCUUCCCAUGCUUUCUUGCUUUUUCAUAUUGUAACUCUGAACCUGAGGAAUGUCAGGGUGUGCAGCU
rnacentral:lncRNA from 1 species